CGUGAAGGUAAUUAAUUAAUUUUACUAUUCGACGUUUCUUAAAUCAUUUAUUGUUAUCUAAUUAAGUCAGACUUGUGACGGAAUAACUAGGAUUUACAUAAUAUCUGCACGUCGUUCGUACUAUACUAUACUAACAAGUGGCUGCAGUAGAGUUCUGAGCAGAGUGCAGCUUGCUAUUAUUGACUUUGCACUGCGAGCGUCUGGUGUUGUGAUGUUCAUGAUUUUGUUGUAAAUACCUACCGACAUUACGAUUUAGCGCCUAGCGGUGUAAAAGCUGCUAAAAAAAAACCUAGUCUCCUGCAAACAGUGAACGGACAUACAAUGGUAAUUAUAAUAUUAGUUACACAGAUAAAUCAUCUGUUGUUUAUAUACUUAUAUUUGUUGAGCUAUAAUAAUAGUGUACCUAAUAAAAACUAUAAAAUAAAUCAUUUGUUCCCAAUCUUUAGAUUAAUAAAACUCUAAGGUUACACUUAAACUUUACGAAUUAUUAUCCAAAUUUUUAGUUUUCAUUGUGUAUAUUAUUGAUUAUUAAAUGCUCUGCAUUAUCCGAGGUAUUAUCAAUAAUUAUUUUCAAAUUUCUACUCAAAUAAAGUAACAUAAAAAUAUAUUAUAAUAUAACGUUUGUAUGUUUGAUUUUUAAGGGGCAACUGUAUGAACAUAUUUUUAUUCAAUUAUUUACUUACUUUGUUAGAAAAAAAAAAAUCAUCUUCUAGGUAAUUUAUAGACUAGAUAUGGAACAAAAAUUCAGUUUAAAGUUAAUUAAAUUUACUAUAUUAUAGUACUAUGUAUCAGAAUAAAAUAGG